rnacentral:misc_RNA from 1 species
AUGGCUUUGAUUUCUUGUAAGACCUCAGAAGGAGUUGGCCAUCCAUGUAGUUCCUCUUCAUCAUCAGAAAAAGGAUCCAUAGGUUUGAUGGAUCUAAAAGAAGGAACUUUUAAAAACAAAUGCUAAUGGGGCCGGAAGAUAUAACCCUCUUAGUGCAAGCUUUGUGCGGCUAGUUUGUUUUAGGGAGUUCAGAAUAUGAAUACUUGGAGGGAGAGGGGAAGAGGGAUGUGGCUAUAUAUACUUGAAGGGACUG